UACGGAGGGUGCUAGCGUUGUUCGGAAUCACUGGGCGUAAAGGGCGUGUAGGCGGUCUGUUAAGUCUGAUGUGAAAUCCCCUCGCUCAACGAGGGAACUGCGUCGGAUACUGGCAGACUCGAGUACCGGAGAGGAAGGUGGAAUUCCCGGUGUAGCGGUGAAAUGCGUAGAUAUCUGGAGGAAUACCGGUGGCGAAGGCGGCAUCCUGGACCGGCAUUGACGCUGAACAGCGAAAGCUAGGGGAGCAAACGGG
rnacentral:rRNA from 1 species